UACGUAGGCAGCAAGCGUUGUUCGGAUUUACUGGGCGUAAAGAGUGCGUAGGCGGUGCCCUAAGUCUGUUGUGAAAUCUCCCGGCUUAACUGGGAGGGUGCGGUGGAAACUGGGGUGCUUGAGUGUGGGAGAGGUUAGCGGAAUUCCUGGUGUAGCGGUGAAAUGCGUAGAUAUCAGGAGGAACACCGGUGGUGUAGACGGCUAACUGGACCACGACUGACGCUGAGGCACGAAAGCGUGGGUAGCAAACAGG
rnacentral:rRNA from 1 species